UUAAUUUUAUUUAAUAUUUAAAUAGUAUAAAUUUGAAACUUUUAAAUUCGCAGUAGUUAGUAUUAAAUAUUGAUGUAAAUCAGAUUUAGUAAAGUUUUUAGCACUAACAAAAUUUGUGCCAGCAGUUGCGGUUACACAAAUAAUGCAAUUAAAUUUUUUUUAGUAUUAAUAAGUUUUUAUUUAAAAUUUAAGGAGUAGUUUAUUAGGUGAAAUUUUUAAACUUAUAAGAGUUUUAUUUGAUUAUUUAAGAAAUUAUUUUUAUAAACUAGGAUUAGAUACCCUAUUAUUAGUAAUGUGAAUUAUUUACUAGAUUAGUAUUAGUUAUGUUCUUGAAAAUUAAAGAUUUUGGCGGUAUUUUAGUCUAUUCAGAGGAACCUGUUCUAUAAUCGAUAAUCCACGAAUUAAUAUACUUUUUUUAUUAGUUUGUAUAUCGUCGUAGAUUGAAUAUUUUAAAAGGAUUAGAAUGUUCAAGAUUUAAAUUAAUAAAAUAAAUCAGAUCAAGGUAUAGUUUAUAAAAAAGGAGAAAUGGGUUACAUUAAUUUUAAUUUAGGAUUUAAUAUUUAAAAUUUUAAUGAAUUUGGAUUUGAGAGUAAUUUCUUAUAAAUAUGAGAAAUGAUUUUAGCUCUAAAAUAUGUACAUAUCGCCCGUCGCUUUCAUAAUAAUGUGAAAUAAGUCGUAACAAAGUAGACUUACUGGAAGGUGAGUCUAGAAAGAGC
rnacentral:ncRNA from 1 species